UUAUGAAGUACUAAGAGGUUAAUUCAAAGAAGUCAGGGAAAAAAUAAAGCAAGAUGCAGCUGAUUCUAAGAAAGCAUAUGUGGAAGAGCUGAGAUCCCUGAUGACAAGGAUUCUUGGUGAGACAAUUGGGCAAAAGGGAAAACAGGUGAAUCCAUGAAUACUGGAAAAUGAGAAGCGUACCAGCAAGGGAAAUUCACCUACUGUUUGUGAGAAAGAAACUAGCACCAGCUAAGGAGGGAUGGUCAGAUCAUCACUUUGCAAGGUAUGGGAGAUUAUGUGGGUACUUCAACUUUCAAAAACUUGUGAAGAUUAUUAUGCUUCCAGUCCUAUGCUUGCACUGCAACAAGAGGUAGGUGUUUUUUAAUUGAUAAGUACAAAUGUAUCUUUGAAGAGCCUAAGAUUGCUCCUCUGUUUAUAGACUAGUUACAAGUUG
rnacentral:misc_RNA from 1 species